CCUACGGGUGGCUGCAGUGGGGAAUAUUGGACAAUGGGGGCAACCCUGAUCCAGCCAUGCCGCAUGUGUGAAGAAGGCCCUCGGGUUGUAAAGCACUUUCAGUGAGGAAGAACGCCUGGUGGUUAAUACCCAUCAGGAAAGACAUCACUCACAGAAGAAGCACCGGCUAACUCCGUGCCAGCAGCCGCGGUAAUACGGAGGGUGCGAGCGUUAAUCGGAAUUACUGGGCGUAAAGCGCGCGUAGGUGGCUUGAUAAGCCGGUUGUGAAAGCCCCGGGCUCAACCUGGGAACGGCAUCCGGAACUGUCAAGCUAGAGUGCAGGAGAGGAAGGUAGAAUUCCCGGUGUAGCGGUGAAAUGCGUAGAGAUCGGGAGGAAUACCAGUGGCGAAGGCGGCCUUCUGGACUGACACUGACACUGAGGUGCGAAAGCGUGGGUAGCAAACAGGAUUAGAUACCCGGGUAGUC
rnacentral:rRNA from 1 species